rnacentral:lncRNA from 1 species
AUUGGGAAAUCUUAGGAAAUUUACAGUCAUGGUGGAAGGUGAAGAAGAAGAAAGCACCUUCUUCACAUGGCAGCAGGAGAGAGAGAAAGAGUGAGGGGGGAAGUGUCACACACUUUAAACCAUCAGAUCUCAUGAGAACGCACUCACUAUCGGGAGAACAGCAAGGGGGAAACUGCCCCCGUGAUCCAAUCACCUCCCACCAGGUUCCUCCCCCAACACUGGGGAUUACAAUUCAACAUGAGAUUUGAGUGGGGACACAGAGCCAAACCAUAUCACUCCUGUACACUAAACUGCUGUGCUGAACUUAGAUUAUGGUUUAUGUUGAUCUCAAAUCAAAUCGUUAGUUACAAAAUAUUUAAAGUUUCUAUAAUUAUUAUAAUCUGCAUAGAAAAACAAUAGCUGUAAGAAAUAAAAAACUCUGGAAGAACCUGAGAAGACACCUGAGCAAAUAUUGGUAAAAUAGCUCAACGCACUGCAGGUAUCUGGUAACUUACUUAUCCCUGGAAGGGAGAUAAAAAAAAUUCCAGGCAAGAAUAAAGCUUCCCAUCUUUUGAGGCACAAAGAUUGAAAACAAAGUUGGUUCUUCUAAGUGGAAUUCAACUAGCCUAGAAAGUGAUUGUCAAUUCUUUCUUUUUAUUGAAUCAGAUGGGUUGGUUCAUUUAAUGGAAAUGCCCUGAGGAAGGGCAAUCCAAAGUCGAAUUGAGAUUGACAUUUUGAAAAAGAGCAGUAAGUGUUGAAUAUAGCCUGGGGAUUCAUGAAGCGCUAAGUCAGUUGUUCUCAGACUGGCUGAACAUUACAAUCACCUGGGGAGCCUUGAAAAGUCCCCCGGCCUCAUAUCAGUUACAUCAGAGUCUCCGGGAUGGGGACAAGGCCUCUGCACUGGCGAUGCCAGUGUGCAUCUGUGGGUGACAAACACUGUACCAAGUAGAGAAAACGGCAGAUGCUACCCGCAGGCCUCUCUUCCUGUCAUUAGAGGCAUAAAUGACAUUACUGGGGUGGGGUGAGAGUGCAUAAUUACAGUGGAGUUCUGGAAUUGAGAAGACCUUCUAAAAGUUAGAACACGAGGUUUCCUAAAGCAUUUUCCUUUUUAGAGAAUUUUUGGGAGAGGGGUUUAUUAUUACAAAUCUUGUUUUAUAGAGUGUCUCAGAGGUGAUUCAUAAAAUUAGGGACUCUAAGAUAAUGAAAUUUAACGUACCUGUAAGUUUCUCUCUAUAGCUCUGGUAUAGGCAGGAAUGCACUAAAUUUCUACUUGUGUGCCAGCUCCAUCUGAUGGGUGGUGACUUCCAUGGGGAUGGCACGAGAGAGAUUCUGAGGCCAGGUCCAGCUGUGGCAGAAUGAGUUCUGGGGUUGCUCAUGACAUCUGCUAUGGAGGUGGAAGUGAACUGUGGAAAUAGUGAUGCCACAUUUUUCCUGCCUUAGAUAUCAUGAAAAGUCCUGGAGUUCUAAAUUAGAAAGGGAUAAAUGAGAAUUCCAGUUCUGCCUCUGAGAUGAUUUAAAAAUAUGUCGUAAAUUCUCUGAUGUACUUCCCCUAAAAAAAUGGAG